rnacentral:ncRNA from 2 species
AUUGUUAUUGGUGAUGGAGUUCGCCAUAACCGCCCUCAAGAGGGCUGAUGACUCCUAUCUUGAA